UACGUAGGGGGCAAGCGUUGUCCGGAUUUAUUGGGCGUAAAGAGCGUGUAGGCGGUUUGGUAGGUCCGCUGUGAAAACUCGAGGCUCAACCUCGAGACGCCGGUGGAAACCAUCAGACUAGAGUCCGGAAGAGGAGAGUGGAAUUCCCGGUGUGAGCGGUGAAAUGACGCAGAUAUCGGGAAGAACACCCGUGGCGAAGGCGGCUCUCUGGGACGGUACUGACGCUGAGACGCGAAAGCGUGGGGAGCGAACAGG
rnacentral:rRNA from 1 species